GCACUCGCGUCGGAAAUAUAUAUGCUAAUACUGUAACGACAAAGAGAAGUUUAACUUGGUCGCAGUACAAGGGUGAUACGCAAAAAUGUGAAGCGUUCCACCGUUUA